GCCGGGCGCGGUGGCUCACGUCUGUAAUCCCAGCCGCAUGGGAGGCUGAGGCAGGAGGAUCACGAGUUCAAAGCCAGCCUCAGCAAUGGCGAGGCCCUAAGCAACUCAGUGAGACCCUGUCUCUA
rnacentral:sRNA from 1 species